rnacentral:rRNA from 1 species
UACGUAGGUGGCAAGCGUUAUCCGGAAUUAUUGGGCGUAAAGCGCGCGCAGGCGGUUUCUUAAGUCUGAUGUGAAAGCCCACGGCUCAACCGUGGAGGGUCAUUGGAAACUGGGGAACUUGAGUGCAGAAGAGAGAAGCGGAAUUCCACGUGUAGCGGUGAAAUGCGUAGAGAUGUGGAGGAACACCAGUGGCGAAGGCGGCUUUUUGGUCUGUAACUGACGCUGAGGCGCGAAAGCGUGGGGAGCAAACAGG